AAAUCAAAACAUUCGUGAUCUGAUAAUAAAGAUGUGUGAUAAAU
rnacentral:guide_RNA from 1 species